UCUCAACCACUGCAUGCUCCAUUUUAUUCAGGUCUCUUGGUAACUUCAGGACAUGAAAGCUCACCUGUUAUUUUCCUUCCCUCUCUCACUGAAACACUUCUUGACUUCUAAGGCUGAGAAAAACUCCACUUUUAAGAUUACGUUUGACCACGGUGUUGAGGGAGCCUCCACGCAUGCUCCGGAAAUAUAGCAGCUCCACGCAUGCUCGGAAAUCAUGGCAGCUCCAGGAAUGAUUGGGAAACACAGCAGCUCCAAGCAUGCUCCGGAAACAUGGUAGCUCCACGUAUGCUUGGGAAAUAUGGCAGCUCCAUGCAUUCUUCAGUUGCUCUCUAGGCCCCUUCAGAGACCAAUUAUUAGAAUUUAGACCUCCCCCGACACCUUGGACCUCCUCUGUUGACAAGGUUUUAUUGCAUAUAUAUAUUGUGUUCUUUCCAGGAAGUGGAGAGGCUCUUGUGUCCAAGGCUGGCUUCAAACUAGCUACAAAGCCAAGGAUGGCCUUGAAUUUCUAAAUACCCGGAUUAAAGGUGAACAUCACUGAACCUGGAUUGUGAGGUCCUAGAAACAGAGCCCAGAGCUACCCGCAGCCAAACAAGCAGUCUAGCAGGCCUUGUCCAGCUGAGGUUCGCUCACUCUGUUCUGAUCCAGAGGAGAUUGCUGAGCCAUGUCAACUUGCCUGCUACCAUGUUCCCCAUCAUGACGGUCCUGAAUUCUAACCCUCUGGAAUGGAAUGGGCUCUCACGCAGCUGCUAGCCGCUGUUUGGAUGUACCACGAUACUUUCAAAGAUGGUGACUGUUUGGUGCUUGCCUUCCACGAGUACCUAACAACAGCAGAUUGCUCCAGCAGACGUUUUAAAAGGUCUAUAUGCAUAAAGUGUCUCCAGUCCCAAAGUGACAUUGGGCUUGCUGAAACCAGAGAAUCAUCCAGAAGGCCUCCCAUUUCCUCUCAACAGAAAGAUCCAGAGUCACCCUCGUUCCACCUCUUGCUCCGCCUCUCCAUUACGCAUCAUCUAUUGGAUCUAUUGCUCCAAGCUUGUUUGCAAUUCUCAGUAGGUGGUGACCCAGUUCAUGUAACCCUGUCAGAUUCUUCUGGAAGGUAGUACAUUAACCUACAGGGAGCUUCUAACACAUGUGACCAGUGCUCCUGUUUACAUUUGGCCUAGACACAUGUGAGGCUAAUCAUGGAUCCAUGUAGACAUCUAGGCUGAAAUCCCACCUUUCACUCUCUUCCUCUCUCUCCUGGGAAGGGACGGUGCAUGGAGUCAUUUAGCUGAGAGCUGUUUCUAAAUGAGUACAGAACAUAGGACUCAUACUAAAUGAAAUUUCUCAGUUGAUUUUUUUUCCAUCCAUUCCACAGUCAGGUAAGCUUCUGCGCAGUCCCAAACAUUCUUUGUUGACUGAAGCACAGAGUCUCUACAAAGGUGCCUCAAUUUAUAGCAGAAUUACACCUCUAUAAACCUAUCGUAAGUCAAAACUAUUGCGAGUCAAAAUGCAUUUAACAGCUGUAGUCUAUUGAACAUCAUAGAUUAUCCUAGCCUACUUCAAAUAUAUCCCGGAUGCUUAUACUGCCCUACAGUUGGGGAAAUUCUCUAAUACAAAAACUAUUUUAUGAAUAAAUAUUGAAAA